rnacentral:snRNA from 1 species
GUCGAUUAAGACAGCAGGA